rnacentral:rRNA from 1 species
UACGUAGGGGGCAAGCGUUGUCCGGAAUCAUUGGGCGUAAAGAGCGUGUAGGCGGCCCGAUAAGUCCGCCGUGAAAGUCCAGGGCUCAACCCUGGGAUGCCGGUCGAUACUGCCGGACUAGAGUUCGGAAGAGGCGAGUGGAAUUCCCGGUGUAGCGGUGAAAUGCGCAGAUAUCGGGAGGAACACCAAUGGCGAAGGCAGCUCGCUGGGACGUUACUGACGCUGAGACGCGAAAGCGUGGGGAGCAAACAGG